GCUGCCAUCGUCUAGCGGCCAGGAUGACCGCCUCUCGAGCGGUCGACACGGGUUCGAGUCCCGUUGGCAGCGCCA
rnacentral:tRNA from 1 species